rnacentral:lncRNA from 1 species
CUCGAGGAGAGCCGGGUAUUUGAGCGGGACAAUGGUGGUGUCAAGCGAGGCGAGCUUGGGGAUUUAGCACGGUCUUUCUAAAGAUAUUUACUUUGUACUCUUUUCAUAUUGCAGUCCUAAAAGACAACAGAAAAUGUACUCACAAUUGCUGUCCUGCAGAAAACACGAGGGCAGUUGCAUUUUAGAUCAAUUCUGAGUGAGCGCGCCAGUAAAUGGUGAAAUAUUUUCAUAAAUAAAUUGAUCCUGCCAGAAGAAUUGCAUGAAACUUAUGUCUGUAUCAUCUUGGUGAGGUUUAUACAUGCACAGUAAGGCAAAUGUAAUGCCUUCAGACAUUUCAGUGUGGAUGACAACUCUAAAAAUUUAUUAAACUGCAACACACGGUCUGCGCCGCUAGUGGAGGCAGCCUCAAACUGCGAUGCGGCCGAAAAAGAUGCGGUGAAAGGCUGAGCCGCGGCAGAAAGCGAGUGAGGCUUUGCUGCCAUGAGAUCUGGGGUGCGGCCCAGGCUCAUUGAAUGCCUGCUGCUGCCGUGACCCAGGGCUCGAGGAGAGCCGGGUAUUUGAGCGGGACAAUGGUGGUGUCAAGCGAGGCGAGCUUGGGGAUUUGCACGGUCUAUUGGCCACAGCCUGUGGCUGGUCGAGAAGGGCAGCUGUCGCGAUAACGCCUGGUGCUCAGCGGCCGUGUUUGGCGGGGUAGGAGUUAUAAUGGGGCCGGCAAAUGCGGCAGAUCUGAAAAAAAUAAUCCCUGGUAUAGAUCUCUUCGUUGGACGGAAAAUUGGCUCUGUGAUAAGAUGGCAACAGAGCGCACCGAAUGCUGAAAGUCGAGAGAUAACGAAGACUAAAUGUAGGAGAUGGGAAAGCUAUGAUUACUGACAGCAGAUGUCUGGAGAAAGUGGUGUGGGGGGAUGGAAGGAGAUGAUAAUGUGGCGUGAAGCAGAGCUCCAUCAUCACACACUGAAAAGCGCCGUGCGGAAAGCAGGAGCGUGUUUGAGGUGAUUGGUAUGUGCAUUUUUCCCUUCUGACUGUCAGUCUUGUUGGGCCCUGUCUCACCCUCAUAUCUCUUUCGCCUCCCUCAACACAGCUGACAGACAUCUUCCUCAGUUGUCACAACAUGUGUAUAUGUGUGUUUUAGUGUAAGAUUUCAC